ensembl:lncRNA
GUUCCUAUGUGUUGAUUUGUUAUAUAAGUGAAAUAUGGUCUUGGGUGAGAGCUCUGCGAGCGGUGCUCCCGCGUGAGUCUAAAAUAAGGAGAGUAUUCCUGCUGUUGCCGUCAGGGGCCCGGCUGACAGGUGGACUGUAUAAAUACUGCCUUUGUUCCGCGCUUCAGGCUCAGACAAACAAAACAGAAAGUUGCUAAUUGCCUUCAGUACUUAGCUGCACUAAGAUAAUGAACAAUGUCAUUAUCAGUUAUAAAGAACUUAGCAUAAGAACUCCUGUUGAAGUAAGUUACCAUACACGGCCUAUUUAGGCUGAUGGCGUUGCGAAAGUGAAAAAGUCACUUAAGCUUGAACUGAAAAAUUGUUUUAUUUCAAUUUGACCAAUGCAAAGCAUAUUCAGCAAUAAAUAUGUGGGUGACAGACUUGAGUGAGGGCCUCAAUCAUAUCCAACCUGCAAGUUGGGGCCUUUUUAACAACAUUGUGACCACAGGGCUACAAGAGAAUAAAAUAAUUAGCUAAACAAAUAAAAUAUCUCUGAACUGGGAUGGUGCCAGCACAUUAAACAUAUAAGUAAACCAUAUGUUUAUAAAUACAUAUUAACAGGGCAGUUAACAGAAAUGUGAAAUAACAUGGUCUGAGUGAACACUCACACCUGUAACAUAAAGUUUUGCUGACGCACAAACAGAAAUAACCUUCAAGCUGACUUGAGGCAGACUUAAUAAACCAUAGGGAGAUUUGUAGUGAGCCCUGUGUACAUGUGUGUGUGUGUUUGUUUGUGUAUGUUUUGUGUCUAUGUCUGUGACAUACUACUUUUGGUACAAUAAGUCCUAAGUUCUAUCAGAGUACAUUUCUUUUAAAUGAAAUCUUGUGGAACUCUAGGGGACAUUCUGCAUAAAGUCACUGAUUAUUGUGUUCAACUAAUACAGUCAAGCAUAUCCGUGUCACAUUCUUGUUUCAUUCUCGUGAAAAGACAGGAAAACACUCCUUCUGUACAACAUGCUCACAUAUGAAAUAUGGGACAGUACACUGAAUGGAUUUCACAAGCCAUCAGAGGUGCUUCUAACACACACAGCCAUUUCAAUGUAAAAUGAUCCAGGCGCCAAAAAAACAUGGCAACAGCCUACAACACAAAUGAAUUCAUAUUUCUAAAAUGUUUCAGUCUUGUUGCAUAUUUCUUUUUAUGAUUAACCACCCCAAAAACAUGAUUUUUAAAAACUAUCUACAGAACAGUGAGAUCAAAAUCAGUAUCUUCUGCCAACUAAAAACUCCUACAGUGUAUGAUUGUUUUAAAAUACACCAGCAGACACACUGGCACACAUACCAUGGCAUCUACUCGAAAACAACCUUUUCACAUGAUCUCAAAUGACGCCGUUUCAUAAGGAGUGCCAGGACCAUCCACCUCUCAUCUCCUCCAUUUGCUUUAACACACAUCCCUCUUAUAUAACCUUGGCUCACAGUCAGACAAGUGCAAGCAAGUCACUUUACAAUUCAAUAAGUUCAUAAAUACUACUGCAUUCCGACAUGACCAACUGAAGUUAUGGGUAACAAACUAUUUCUGCCACUGUGAAUAACCAGUUUACUCUCACUGCAUCUAGAAUGCACGUGCAACGUUUCAGACCAAACCAUCACAGGUGUGACAUGUGUUCACACUCUGAACAACCUACCAGUGAAAUUAGCAAACUCUUUAAGACAUUUUGCUUAGUACAUGUGCACAGUUACAGAUAGAUAAUGUUUGGAUAUUACUUGAAAACAGAAACAAUCCAGUGACAUAAAACAAUAUUAAAUCAAUGGAGGACAGGCAUUUUUUUCUUUGAUGUAACCUUUGUUUAGGCUUUAUAACAUAUUUCAUGAAUUUUCCUUUCGACUAUUUCCUAAUUUUAAUGCAAAGAAAUCAAAGAACCAUUGAACUAGUUUGACGACUUUCAGGUUGUUGUCCUGUAAAGAGGUCCAUUUUCUGUAUAUGAAGAACCUGAUCCUGAUCUCUGUUUGAUCCACACUCACGGCCCUUUACCAAAAACCCACCAGCCAGCAUCUCAUCAGGAUAAACAACACGGAUUUCACAACUUCUUUUGCAGCCACAUCUUCUCUCCACGUGAGAGCAGUGAGGGAGACGGGCUUCCUCUGGGAGUUACUGCUCUGAGUGGCAGGCGGGCUGAGCAGCUUAGGUCUUGUGAUGUCUGUCUGUCUGUCUGUCUGUCUGUCCGCGAGUGGCAGCAGAUGAGAGAGGCAGCGUCCACUGCAGGUUGAUCUCAGUGUGGGGCUGCGUGUGCAAGGAGGCACAUCCCUGGGCAGCAGCCACUCUGAGCUUCGGGUAAGAGUCUAUGUUCACGAUGGUCCGGCGUAAUAUCGGAGGCCAAGCUCCUCCAGUUCCUCCAUCACCACAUGGGUGGGGAAUCCUGGGUA